rnacentral:rRNA from 1 species
UCUAUACAUGACUCUGCGCAUAUCAAUAAGCGGAGGAAAAGAAACUAACAAGGAUUCCCCUAGUAACGGCGAGUGAAGCGGGAAGAGCUCAAAUUUGAAAUCUUAAGGGUUUCCCUUUACGAAUUGUAGUUUAAAGAAGUGUUUUCUGUUGAGGUUUUGGUAAAAGUUCUUUGGAAUAGGACAUCAUAGAGGGUGAGAAUCCCGUAUUUGACCUUUACUUUCAGCUUUGUGAUACACUUUCAAGGAGUCGGAUUGUUUGGGAAUGCAGUCCAAAAUGGGUGGUAAAUUUCAUCUAAAGCUAAAUAUUGGCGAGAUGACCGAUAGCGAACAAGUACCGUGAGGGAAAGAUGAAAAGAACUUUGAAAAGAGAGUUAAACAGUACGUGAAAUUGUCAAAAGGGAAGCGUUUGACACCAGUGUUGUUUUUCUGAAAAUCAAUUAAAGAACUGUUUAUGCUAAGUUGUUUAGACUUUAUCAGCUAACUGUUUAGUUUUGAGCUUUUCUUUAAUGCACUUUUCAGUUAACAAGUCAACAUCAAUUUCUUUUGCUGUAAAAAAGCUUGAGGAAGGUGGCUUGAGAUUCGUCUUAAGUGUUUAUAGGCCUCUUGCCUAUGCAGUCGGAGAGAUUGAGGUCUGCAGCGUAGAUCCUUCGGGGCUAAAUGCAUUUGUGCUAAGUUAUAGCAUUUUAUAGACAACUUGUUGACUAUGAUUUGUCUUGUAGCUUACUCGCUUAUGUUAUUUUACCUACGCUUAGGAUGUUGACAGCAGUAUAGACUGU